rnacentral:rRNA from 1 species
GACGAACGCUGGCGGCGUGCUUAACACAUGCAAGUCGAACGAAGUGGCGAACGGGUGAGUAAUACGUGAGUAACUGCCCUCCUUUUUGGGAUAAGCCUUGGAAACGGGGUCUAAUACCGAAUAAAGGGGGAUGACUCGCGUCCUAUCAGCUUGUUGGUGGGGUAGUGGCCUACCAAGGCGACGACGGGUAGCCGGCCUGAGAGGGCGACCGGCCACAUUGGGCUGAGAUACGGACCAAACGCCUACGGGAGGCAGCGGUGGGGAAUAGUGCACACCGGGGAAACCCUGAUGCAGCAGCCCGCGUGCGGGAUGACGGCCUUCGGGUUGUAAACCGCUUUCAGCCAUGACGCGGUAGUGGCAGAAGAAGCACCGGCUAACUACGUGCCAGCAGCCGCGGUAAUUC